rnacentral:rRNA from 1 species
UUGCGUCUGGGCGCAGCCUGAUGGAGCACGCCGCGUGAGUGAAGACGGCCUUCGGGUUGUAAAGCUCUGUCUGUCGGGACGAAGACCGGGACGGGAGUCCCGGGGAGCCGGUACCGACGAAGGAAGCCCCUGCAAACUACGUGCCAGCAGCCGCGGUAAU